rnacentral:misc_RNA from 1 species
CAUAGGUAACCCUUGGGUCAGACAAGGCCUUAACCCAACGUCGAACAAAUCGCUCUUGCCUAGAAGAGAAUAUCAGAAAGAACAAAAAUUGUAAACGCAAAUAUGCAUUCGGAUAUCAAAUUUAAGUCUAACAGUGAAAACUGAAAAGGGACCAAAAUAAGAAAAAAAAAAUGGGUAUGAAAUUACAAGGUACUUAAGCAUACCUGUCUGGUGAAAAGGAACGGUAUCUGUCCCCAGGCUGCUUGAAGUUAUUCUCCUUUGGAAUGACAGACUGAACAAUAUGAAAACAAAGUGCUAACUCAGAAUUAUACAUGUCUAACUGAUUAAUAGAAGCAUACAACUAAUAGCUAGUCCCAUUUACGUAGAUCAACAUUCCAAAGGGAUCCGAAAAACAAUAAUUCCUUGGAUCGCUAUCAGCAGUUUGGUCUAAAAUCAUAGGAAUUGUAUGAUCCAUUUCAUCUGUCAAGCAUUUAAACAAUGCAAGAUAUAGUACAGAAACAAACCUUCUCACGCUGUCCAGUGAGAAUAGCAGGAGGUAUAGGGUACUUCUCAGCAUGACGACCAA